GCGUGCCUAAUACAUGCAAGUCGAGCGGUAAGGCUUUCACAGAUUAUUUAAACGGAAAAGUCCAAGAAUUUAUUCAUGGAUACUAUCCUUCAACGUUUCAUAACCCGGCUAGGUUAUAUAUAAAUGGUUGAAUAAUGUGUGAAAGUACACGAGCGGCGGACGGCUGAGUAACGCGUAGGAACGUACCCCAAAGUGAGGGAUAAGCUCUGGAAACAGAGUCUAAUACCGCAUGUGAUCUAAGGAUUAAAGCCUUCGGGCGCUUUGGGAGCGGCCUGCGUAAGAUUAGUUUGUUGGUGAGGUAAUGGCUCACCAAGACUACGAUCUUUAGCUGGUCUGAGAGGAUGAUCAGCCAGACUGGGACUGAGACACGACCCAGACUCCUACGGGAGGCAGCAGUAGGGAAUUUUCCACAAUGGACGAAAGUCUGAUGGAGCAACGCCGCGUGCAGGAUGACAGCCUUCGGGUCGUAAACUGCUUUUAUGAGUGAAGAAUUAGACGGUAACUCAAGAAUAAGGGACGGCUAACUACGUGCCAGCAGCCGCGGUCAUACGUAGGUCCCAAGCAUUAUCCGGAAUUACUGGGCGUAAAGAGUUGCGUAGGUGGUUUUUCAAGCGAAAAGUGAAAGCGUACGGCUCACCCGUAUACACAUU
rnacentral:rRNA from 1 species